UGCCCCAUGGCUGAGUUGGUUACAGCGUCCGACUGUUACGAUAUCUGAGAAGAUAACGGCAAUCGGAAGGUCGUGAGUUCGAGCCUCACUGGGGCAG